rnacentral:lncRNA from 1 species
CCCUCUUCUCCUAACCUUGUUGCUGUACUUUUCUGAACCCCUACUACUGUUGUUUCCCUCAUUAUCUUUCUCUGAAUUUUCUGUAAGCUGAGAUGUGUAAUGCUUUGUAAUGUUCAGAUUUGAGUAGUGCUUGACACUUGUUCAGUUUCAGACUUGUCCUUGAUUAAUAGUACUUGUGUUGUUCAUCUCAGAGUACUAGAAUUAUGUCUUGUAACCUCCCCCUAUUUGCAUAUGUGUGAUGUGUGUUCUGUAGUGUUUUUGUUAACUUUGUUCAUGUGAAAACAUAUAUGUUUGUGUUGUGAUAUAUUUUUGUCCCUAUCAUAUUAGCUUGUUUCUUUCCUUCUGUCAUUGCUAGUUAUAUAUGUGUGAGUGUUUGUGUUGUGAGAGUUGUACUGUUACAUUGUGAUUCUCAUUUAAAAUGUAAGAGUACUAGCUAUAUACUCCCUCCAUUCCUAAAUAUAGGGUGUAUAGUUUUUGGCACGGAAUUAAAGAACGCACGUGGAGGGAAAAUUUCACAAGUUCUGGGCGAGAUUACACCUGACUAAUUGACAUGAAUAAAAAGAGAAAUGUAAUCAAAUCCCUAAAAAAUUAAUCCAAACGAGUGGUGCAACGCAAUGCACCUUAUAUUUCGGAUUUUUUCUCAGAAAUCUAUACACCUUAUAUCAAGGAACGGAGGGAGUAUGUCAUAUAUAUUCUAUUCAUGUAUGAUAGUUAUGUGUUCUUGUCUAGUAGGUUUCCCUAAUAUUGAUUCUCGUUUGUGUUAGUGUUUUAAUCCCUCAAGCCUAAUAAAAAUACCAAAAAGACAAUGAGUAAAAUCUGAAUUUCCCCUUGCUGUUUACCCUUUCUUUGUCGUCAACCUUAGCUAGUUUAGGUUAUUAUUUUCUUGGAAUCCUCUCUUAAAAUUUUGUCACCUAGCUUUAGCUGAGCAUUGCUGCUGUCGCCUAGUCCCUGUGGAGAACACGACAUCCGUAGUUUGGGGCGUAAAAAACCCUGCUAUAUUACAACUGAUCAUUUUGGCGCCGUUGUCGAGGACCAGCGUCGAGCGUUUGUGUGAGGCUUUAGACUAGGUUUAGCUUGUUUCCUUUUUGUGCUUUAUAUAUUUGUGAUAUAUCUCUAGCCACUAACCCCUGUUCUAGUUAGUAUCUUUUUGUCUUCUUUUCCUUUUUGCAGGUUGGAUUAUCCUCUCGGUUAUGGCUUACUAUUCAGAUCAUCAUGCUUAUGCGAGCAACACUACAAACAGCACGGAAAGUGUUCAAGAACUGAUAGGUAAGAUUUCCCAUCGAUUAGAUGAUUUAGCUCGGCAGCGAGAAGGAGUUUUUGAGGAUAGGCCUAGUUCUUACGAUCCUUAUUCCAGUGGCCAUCCUUAUGUUGCUCCUACUUGCCAUAUUUGUGGAUUUCAGGGCCAUUCACCCGCUGAAUGUCAGUGUGGCUACUCUCACACUCCGGAUUGUUUUGGCAUGAGCUUCGCUCAAGAGCAUAGCUCAUACCAAAACAAUUACUCACAUGGGUGGCCUGAAAUCCCGAAUAUGUCAUAUAGGAGCAACAACCCUGAGAUCUCACAGUUUGGUUCUAGUAAUCAUAUGCAGGGAUUUAGGUACAAUGAGGAGAGCCACAACUAUGCACCACAACAAUUCCAUUCAGCUCCUACUCAUAUACCACAGCACCAGGAGAUGUGUCCAAUGGAGUUAAAUGGUCCUCCAUUUGGUCAACCAACAACUCCAGCACCUGUUGUGCAAUCUCAUGUGCAAGUGCCCACACAAGAUGAGUUCGAUGACAUAGACAAGCUCACACUUUUGAGUCUCGAGUUCACUUGGAGUGCCGAGGAUGAUCCUAUUAGGAAGGUGAUACUUGAGGAAAUGAAGAAGAUUAAGAGUGGAAAAGAGCUAGUGGAAGAAGUAAGGAAGAUUGAGAAGAACAUCAACGCUGGCAGCACUAUUUCUUCACAGCUAGAGCUGAGUGUUGCUGAGAUAUCCAUUGAUACAUGUGAGGUACCAACACCUUCACAUUCAGCUGAGCAAGAUAGCGAGAGUCCAGAGGAAGAGAUACUUCAGAUCCAAGAAGAAAUUCUCGAAGCCAAGGCACAAGAUGAUCUAGAGCUCGAACAACAAAGUGAUCAAGUUGAAGACUCAUCAUCUACUACUCCUGAAGAAGUACAAGAAGCUGUUGUAGAUGAAGAUGAAGAACAUGAGAUUCAUUUGCCUAUUGUCAUACCAGAGCGUGAUGUGUCAGGUUUACUCAAUCCUCUUGAUGACAUUAUGCCUUGUGAUUUCUUUGCUACUACCUUGCAUUACAUGAUACCAUCACUUAAGAUUGAUUUGAAAACUCAUUUGCUUGGAUAUGAUGAUAUAUACCCUGUUAGUGGCAUUACUCUCAUUUGUGAUGACCAUAGUUACUUUCCUCGCGCUAAUCCUAUGCUUAAUGAAACAUAUCACUCCCAUGCUAGUCUUGAGCUUAAUGAUAAAUAUCAUCCUCAUGUUAGUGUUGACCUUGCUGAUUUCUACCAUCCUAAACAUGUGCUUUAUAGCUAUGCUUAUGUAAUUGGAUACUCUAUCGAUGACUAAGAGGGCAUUCUCUCUGUCACUUGUAUUGGCUUGGUUGUUGAGUGUUCUUUCAGGUUGAUGCUUGUGUACCAUUUACUACGAGUUGACCGAGUUCGAGAUGACAUUCCCUGGGAUCCUGGUGGACUCAGAGCAUGGGGAUGAGGAGAAGCAAGGGGGCACACACGAGGAAGGGAGAAGCUGGAGUAGGCAUGAGGAUAGAGAAGCAAAAGGAGAGGAGCUGCAGUUGGUGAGGUGAUCGAGCGAGUGCUACUUCCUAUGAAAACCCGGUGAGCUGUUUCAUGACCCAUUCCUAGUAUAUCAUCCAUUGAUACAUGCUGAAAUCAAAUGUUAUUUGGGUUGCUUAAGCCAUGUCUUAAAUGUUGCCCCACUGAAUUUUACUUGAAAUAUGGUGCUUGAUGAGAAUAUGUGAACUGAGCGUUGAAUGCCUGGUAAACUAGUGAUCUAUACAAUGCUUGCUUUGCUGAAAGUAGUGGAAGUUAUUAGUUUUGAGUGCUCAAAUCCCUAGUAUACUAGAAAACUUAAUCAUUUUCUGCUUUUACCUCGAUACACCUAGAUCACCACGUUUAGAUUCUGAAUUUGUGCUAAGUGUGUUCCCAUUGAGAGCAAUCACCUAACCACUAUGGAUUAGCAUGCUAUGUUCCCUGGAUCGGUAGCAUGUGAACCAGACAUGGAGAAGUGAUGAUUCCUGUUUUUGUGCUUAUGUGUUGUUCAUUUAAGAUAAGUAAUAUUGAAUAAAUAAGUCUGACUACCUACAGUAGCAUGUCAUGUUCCCGGGAUCGGUGGCAUGUGAAAUCGGGUUAGCUUGGGCAGUAAUUAAUAAUAAAAAAAUGUAAUUGUCGAACCAGGUGUAUACCAUGUUCUCGGGAUCGGUGGUAUGUUCCUUUGGGGAGACAAACAAAAAAACUAAUAAUUGGUCGAGCCAGGUGUAUACCAUGUUCUCGGGAUCGGUGGUAUGUUCCUAUGGUGAGACUAAUAAUAAUAUAAUCAUUGCUUUAUCUCUGUAAAUAAGUGAUUUGAUCACAAGAUUUAAUUCCAGUUCAUUUUGUUCUUGGGAUCAUGCUCUCUUUAGGAACCAUUUGGCGCAGUCAUCAUUUAAACUUGUUGAUCCUCUUUUAUCUCUGUAAAAGUUUAAAAUGGUCAUGCUUACUAGUAUCCUACUGCUUUGUAGCACUCCUAACCAUUAAUUUUCACUAGCUAAGUCUGAAGCAUGCCUUGUUUGGAGAUCUAUUUUACCAGGACAUUCCUUACUCAGUUUACUGUUCAUUAUCUUGCCUUUAUCAUAUUCCUUUGCUUGAGGACAAGCAAAGAUUUAAGUGUGGGGGAACUUGAUAAGUGCAUUUCAUAUAUAUAAUUUGGCACUCAAAUUUAGCAUCUAUCGUGAUAUAUCCAUCCAUUCUUGCUAUGAGUUGUGAUAUAUUUGAAUGAAAAUCAUAUAAAAGAUCAUUUACUUGUCAUUUGUUUCUUUUGCAGAAAAGUGCGCAAGGCACUAUAAUCGUCAAGAUUUUUACUAUGUGGCUAACGAGACGAGAGAAGGGCUUGUGUGUGACGACAAGAAGUAACCAAAGGGGCUAACUAUAGAAGAGAGGGGAUCUACUUGGGAAGGAAGAAGAUAGUAGGAGGGCCCAUGUGCAAACAUCAAAAUCUGCUGUGAGGGGAUCAAACUCCCUAGGUCACUACACAAUUCCCCUCGGGCCUGGCUACACAUCUCUCUUCUCCCCCACCUCUCCUUCUCCAACUCCGGCCGCCGCCACGUCCAGGCCAGCGUGGUGGUGCGCCUUCGCAGCACAUCCAUCCACCAGCACCACCAUCACACGACCACUCCACAACCAGCGCCACCCAGCCACCCAUGCUCACCAUCUCCAUCACCCGCCGCUGCAUCAUCACCAAUCAGCCACUGCUGCACCAUCACCAGCACCUCCAUACACCACCAUCCAUCAGCGCCACCAUCUACAGCUACCGCUGCAUCUCGCGUGCUCGACCAGACAAGAGGGUCACGGGCAUCUGGUCCUCCGCGUUAGCGCCCCCGUGAUGUUGAUGUUCUUCUCCUUUCCCCCCUGCUGCUUCUUCCCUUCACGCUGCUGCUGCUGCCUUCCUUGCACCCCCUUGCUGCUGCUACGAUCUGAACCCUCCUUGCUUUUGCUCUUCCCUCGUCCUAGCCUGCUGCUCUCUCAAUCUCUGCUGCUGCUAUUCUCUAAGCCCCCCACGCUGCUGCUGUUCCUCUUCUUUCCCACGUCUCUCCUGCUUUCUUCUCCCCAAAACUGCUGCUAUACCUUCUCCCUAAUUCCCCUCUUCUCCUAACCUCGUUGUUGUACUUUUCUGAACCCCUACUACUCCUGUUUCCCUCAUUAUCUUUCUCUGAAUUUUCUGUAAGCUGAGAUGUGUAAUGCUUUGUAAUGUUCAGAUUUGAGUAGUGCUUGACACUUGUUCAGUUUCAGACUUGUCCUUGAUUAAUAGUACUUGUGUUGUUCAUCUCAGAGUACUAGAAUUAUGUCUUGUAACCUCCCCCUGUUUGCAUAUGUGUGAUGUGUGUUCUGUAGUGUUUUUGUUAACUUUGUUCAUGUGAAAACAUAUAUGUUUGUGUUGUGAUAUAUUUUUGUCCCUAUCAUAUUAGCUUGUUUCUUUCCUUCUGUCAUUGCUAGUUAUAUAUGUGUGAGUGUUUGUGUUGUGAGAGUUGUACUGUUACAUUGUGAUUCUCAUUUAAAAUGUAAGAGUACUAGCUAUAUAUGUCAUAUAUAUUCUGUUCAUGUAUGAUAGUUAUAUGUGUUCUUG